GUUUCAUGGCAGUUUUUCUCCUUUUAACCUUAUAACAGUCUUAGGCUAGAAAAGUCACUAUCAUCAUCAUCAUCAUCAUCAUCAUCAUCAUCAUCAUUAUCAUCCUUACUACAUUUAUACAUGAAGAAAUUGAACCUUAUGGAAAUGUUGUAUCUUGGUCAUUAUUGUACAAUGUGUAAGAUUUCUUUAGGUGACAGUUUCCUAUGGCCCAGGCUAAUCUGCAACUUUCAUCCAUUUCCUGAAUGCUGGGUCAUUUUUAAUGGCGUGCACCAGUACAUAAGACCAUCAUCUGACAAGAUGUGUAUACUGUAGUGUGUUUUCAAAGCAGAGUUUCUUUUUAUUAAUAAGAUGGUUGUUAGAGUGGGGCCACCAUAUUCCUGUUGCCAUUCUUUCACUUUGAAGAACAGAAAGAAGUGCUUGUAAUGGUGCCAUUCUUCAUUUUGGAGAGCAAAUAUUGGUUGACUUCUUCAUUUAUAAUGAUUAGAGCAUUAAGUCAUAGGCAGCUAGGCUGGGCUUUUAUUUUCAGCCCUUUAACAACUUUAAUUCUAGUCCUGGGGAGACUGAGACAGGUAAAUCUCAGUGAGUUUGAGACUACUGUGCUCCACAGAGUGAGUUUUAGGACAGCCAAUGCUACAGAGUGGAACCCAAGUGUGGCAGAUUUCAGUAAUCCUAGCACUUGAGCAUCUGAGGCAAAAGAUUAGAAGUUUAAGGUCACCCUAGGUUACAUGGCAUGAGAGGGUUGGGUGAGAAGCAACUUGUAACGAGGUGUGGUGUCCCACACGCCUUUAUCCCAGCACUCAGGCAGAGGUUGGUGUAGGCCAGUCUGGUCUACAGAAUGAGUUACAAGACAGCCAGAGCUAUACAGACACAGAGAAACCUUGUCUUGAAAAUUCAAUUUAAAAAAAAUAAAAAAUGCAACCUGGAAAUAAUGAUUGACCUGCCUUUAGUGAUUAAUGUCCCAGGAUUAAAAGCUAAUAGAGCCAAACAUGAUGUUACUUGCCUUAGCAUUAGGGAGGCAGACAAAUCUCUCUUAAGUUCCAAGCCAGCCAGAGCUACACAGUAAAAUCCUGUCUCAAAGUAAAGCAGACUAACCCCAGUCACAAAAAUAUAUCCCUACCGUUUAGAGAUUUUGCAUCUUUGUUUUGUUUCUUUAUAACGUAAGUUAUUUUAUUUUACUAUUUUUAGGUUAUGGCACAUAGUUCACCACAGAGCAUUUUAGAUGAUGUUG
rnacentral:lncRNA from 1 species